UACGUAGGGUCCGAGCGUUGUCCGGAAUUAUUGGGCGUAAAGAGCUCGUAGGCGGUAUGUCGCGUCUGCUGUGAAAGACCGGGGCUUAACUUCGGUUUUGCAGUGGAUACGGGCAUGCUUGAGGUAGGUAGGGGAGACUGGAAUUCCUGGUGUAGCGGUGGAAUGCGCAGAUAUCAGGAGGAACACCGAUGGCGAAGGCGGCUUUCUGGCGCAUAACUGACGCUGAGGCUCGAAAGCGUGGGGAGCGAACAGGAUUAGAUACCCGGGUA
rnacentral:rRNA from 1 species